GUGGUGCCAGCCCGACUCUGGCACGUUCAGCUGAAGAAAGGAAGAGAACGCGUUAUAAUAAAGCAUGAUCACAGCACUUAUCCCGCCACAGAGAAGAAGAAGAAGUCAGGACUCAUUUUCAUGCUGUUUUAUCAUCGGUAAUAACUGAUCGCAGAACCCUCUCCCUGUGCAGUGCCUGGGUACAAUCCAGUGCCUGUGAAGAGCCUAUACAAUGAGUGGGCAAAGGUAGAGAUACGAACAACAUUAUAUCACAUAACAAUAUAAACAUCAAAAGUAUAGUGACUACAUAAACACAUUGAAGAUAGGAGUAAUCCAAAGAGGAACGACACAGACAAAGGACAGCAAUAUGUAUACGAUAUAUCAAUACAUGGUACGCAGUUCUUACACCUAGCCAUGGUUUGCAGUCUCCCCCCCCCAACCCCAAAU